rnacentral:rRNA from 1 species
CCUACGGGGGGCAGCAGUGAGGAAUAUUGGUCAAUGGACGAGAGUCUGAACCAGCCAAGUAGCGUGAAGGAAGACUGCCCUAUGGGUUGUAAACUUCUUUUAUAUGGGAAUAAAAUGUUCCACGUGUGGGAUUUUGUAUGUACCAUAUGAAUAAGGAUCGGCUAACUCCGUGCCAGCAGCCGCGGUAAUACGGAGGAUCCGAGCGUUAUCCGGAUUUAUUGGGUUUAAAGGGAGCGUAGGUGGAUUUUUAAGUCAGAUGUGAAAGUUUGCGGCUCAACCGUAAAAUUGCAGUUGAAACUGGCAGUCUUGAGUACAGGAGAGGUGGGCGGAAUUCGUGGUGUAGCGGUGAAAUGCUUAGAUAUCACGAAGAACACCGGUUGCGAAGGCAGUUCACUGGACUGCAACUGACGCUGAGGCUCGAAAGUGUGGGUAUCAAACAGGAUUAGAUACCCCAGUAGUC